CGAACGGGUGAGUAACGCGUGAGCAACCUGCCUAUGACAGUGGGAUAGCCUCGGGAAACCGGGAUUAAUACCGCAUAAAAUCGUAGAAACACAUGUUUUAACGGCCAAAGAUUUAUCGGUCAUAGAUGGGCUCGCGUCUGAUUAGCUAGUUGGUGAGAUAACAGCCCACCAAGGCGACGAUCAGUAGCCGGUCUGAGAGGAUGAACGGCCACAUUGGAACUGAGACACGGUCCAA
rnacentral:rRNA from 1 species